rnacentral:rRNA from 1 species
AGUGAACGCUGGCGGUAGGCCUAACACAUGCAAGUCGAACGGCAGCACAGUAAGAGCUUGCUCUUACGGGUGGCGAGUGGCGGACGGGUGAGGAAUACAUCGGAAUCUAUUUUUUCGUGGGGGAUAACGUAGGGAAACUUACGCUAAUACCGCAUACGACCUACGGGUGAAAGCAGGGGAUCUUCGGACCUUGCGCGAUUGAAUGAGCCGAUGUCGGAUUAGCUAGUUGGCGGGGUAAAGGCCCACCAAGGCGACGAUCCGUAGCUGGUCUGAGAGGAUGAUCAGCCACACUGGAACUGAGACGCGGUCCAGACUCCUACGGGAGGCAGCAGUGGGGAAUAUUGGACAAUGGGCGCAAGCCUGAUCCAGCCAUACCGCGUGGGUGAAGAAGGCCUUCGGGUUGUAAAGCCCUUUUGUUGGGAAAGAAAAGCAGCAGGUUAAUACCCCGCUGUUCUGACGGUACCCAAAGAAUAAGCACCGGCUAACUUCGUG